rnacentral:rRNA from 1 species
UGGGGAAUAUUGGACAAUGGGCGCAAGCCUGAUCCAGCCAUGCCGCGUGAGUGACGAAGGUCUUCGGAUUGUAAACUCCUGUCGUUAGGGACGAUAAUGACGGUACCUAACAAGAAAGCACCGGCUAACUACGUGCCAGCAGCCGCGGUAAAACGUAGGGUGCAAGCGUUGUCCGGAAUUACUGGGUGUAAAGGGAGCGCAGGCGGGAAGACAAGUUGGAAGUGAAAACCAUGGGCUCAACCCAUGAAUUGCUUUCAAAACUGUUUUUCUUGAGUAGUGCAGAGGUAGAUGGAAUUCCCGGUGUAGCGGUGGAAUGCGUAGAUAUCGGGAGGAACACCAGUGGCGAAGGCGGUCUACUGGGCACCAACUGACGCUGAGGCUCGAAAGCAUGGGUAGCAAACAGGAUUAGAUACCCGAGUAGUCCCUGAGCGGGC